CAUAGGACUGGUUGCGAAGGGGUGGGGGUGAGGGGAAAGGAUCCUCUGAAUUGGUGUCACCUCCUGCCUCUUGCCUCCGCACAUAGAGGAGGUUGAGCGGCUGCCAGCGAUGCCCUCAAGGGAAGAUGUUGCAAGGGGAAG